GCAGUGGUGGUUCAAUGGUAGAAUUCUUGCCUUCCAUGCGGGAGACCCAGGUUCAAAUCUCAGCCCAUGCA
rnacentral:tRNA from 1 species